AUUUCAGCUCCAAUAGCGUAUAUUAAAGUUGUUGCAGUUAAAAAGCUCGUACUUGAAUUUCGGGAUUGACAUAUCGGUCGUGCCUUAAGGGGUAUGAACUGGUGUAGUCAAUUUCUCACCUUCUGGAGAACCGCGAUGCCCUUAAUUGGGUGUCACGGGGAACCAGGACCUUUACUUUGAAAAAAUUAGAGUGUUUAAAGCAGGCA
rnacentral:rRNA from 1 species